rnacentral:rRNA from 1 species
CACUCAACCUGAGAGUUUGAUUCUGGCUCAGAACGAACGCUGGCGGCAGGCUUAACACAUGCAAGUCGAACGACAUAGUGGCAGACGGGUGAGUAACGCGUGGGA